GCUUUGGUGGUUUAGUGGUAGAAUCCUUGCAUUCCAUUCAGGAGACGUGGGUUCGAUUCCCAACCAAUGCA
rnacentral:tRNA from 1 species